UCUGAACAGAAAAAUUCUGAACCGGGGCACACCACAGCGGGUAGUCACGCCCAGGCCUACAGCUUCCCGGGCAAAGGUCAGUUUUGAGCUUAAGUGAGCUCUGUCCAUUGUUCUUAUACGUCCAGGAUAACAUGUCUUUGAAAGGUCAGAGUAAUUUUCUUUUCCAGACCCCUGGUGGCAA